UACGUAGGCAGCGAGCGUUGUUCGGAGUUACUGGGCGUAAAGCGUGCGUAGGCGGUGUCUUAAGUUUGGUGUGAAAUCUCCCGGCUUAACCGGGAGGGUGCGCCGAAGACUGGGAUGCUUGAGUGCGGGAGAGGUAAGCGGAAUUCCCGGUGUAGAGGUGAAAUUCGUAGAUAUCGGGAGGAACACCAGUGGCGAAGGCGGCGACCUGGGCCAAUAUUGACGCUGAGGUGCGAAAGCGUGGGGAGCAAACAGG
rnacentral:rRNA from 1 species